AAAAUAAGAGUCAGUCAGGCUAGCCAAGGAGACUGCCCAUGAGACCACUCAAAGCCUCGAUAUUUGCUGAUCCUUCAUAGAGGAUAUAGGCAAGUCAUCCUUGGCUACCAGAACUUUAAACCCUUAUUG
rnacentral:pre_miRNA from 1 species